UUGACCUCAAAUCAGGUAGACGCCCAUC
rnacentral:rRNA from 1 species